CAUGCAGCCUCCAUGGGGAGAACAGAUUCUGAAUUAUUAUGAGCUCACAGAUGAAUAUUAUAAACACAUCUGAAAAUUCCACUGUCAUAGGUAUAGUCAGCAGGUACGACAAAUCAGAUCAGUUAGAGGUAAUAAAUACUAAAGGAAUAUAAUCUGCAAGGCACAAUGAAAUCACUGUUGAUUUGUGCAGAGCUGGGCUGUGACUGGAGACCAUGGCUGCCCAGUGGAUAGAAGGUAGAAAGUGAGCCUGGAUUUGGUAACAUACUUUAGACUUUGAUCCCCCUGCGCUUAAUCUCUUGUUGGAGGAAGGACUGAGGCUGAAAUGUUGGAAUUGCGUGAGCAGUCAUAAAAGAUUUCAGCUACUCUUAAAGGAAGUUUUUGGAUGUGCACUUAAGCUCUAAAUAGGAGGGAUGAGGAAUUUUUUUGAAUAUGUAACAUUUUAUUAGCUUUUUCAGUAUGACACUGUAACUAUCUCUGGAAUUUCCUCCAAAAUGUAAAUCCCUGAUGUUCUGUAAAUUAAAUGUGAAUAAACUGAGUGUGAAGAUA